AGCCGACGCAGGCAGCCGCCGGGUGAAGUACGCAGGUACCGCAGGUACCCGGCGCCCGCCCGAUUUCAGGGCAAGUUACUGUUUUCAGAAUCCAAGGGGAAUCUAACACCUAAACAAUGCCACGAGAAAAGGAAGGAAAACGAAAAACUAAAGGAGCACUCCUGCCCAUCAUUCCAACUCUUAAAAAGUUCCUGAAAACGUAUGAGAAGUAUUGUGCACAGACUCAGACGUCUGUGUGUCCAGCCAUCAAAAGGGACUUGAAAACCAGCAUCAAUAAUGAACAAAUUCUCAGGAAGUUUGUACUUGUAAGACCUGAUGACUCCCCGCCAGGCAUCCUACCAAUUUCCUUGGAACCUUUGCUCAUGACAGUUCAGGAUGAGUGUUUCACUCUGGGGAGAGAGAUCUGCAUUUGGGGCCUUCAACUGAGCAACCCAGAGAUGGCCAGACUCGCUUUGCUUUUGGAAUCAAAGGGGUGCACCACCUGCCCAUUUACCACCCUGGAACUCAUUGAUUGCAAGAUGGAUCUGUGGUCCCUGGGGAGACUUGGGAAGGCUCUUCAGUCCAGCAGUUUGCAAACUCUUGUUCUUGAUUACUGCAAAUUUGGAAAUGAAGAAAUUGAGAGGAUUUUCUCAGGCCUGGAGAACAACCAAAGGCUUCAAGUCCUCAGCUUACGUUACUGUGGUCUGGGGCCACAGAUUGGGCCAAGGCUGGGCUCUAUCAUAUGCCAGAGUGCCAUUUGUGAGCUGCACCUUGAUGGCAAUUACUUGCAGUGUUCUGGAGCUCUGGAUCUCCUCAGACCCGUAGCAGAGUAUGCAGAGAUGCAGGGGAAAGACCAGCCAGCCACUUGCUCACCAGACCCUAGGCAUCCCCCUCAGCUGCUCCAAGCUAAGCAGAGAGGAAGUUCAACUUUGAACCAGAUUACAAAGUCAUCUGGAGCUCUAACAAUGAAAACUACUUCAGGAAAGAAGAGAAAAAAAGGAAUCAAGAAAAAACUUAAAAAUUCGGAAGUUGGACCUUGGUUAGUGAAGUUGUAUUUGGCAGAUAAUGGCAUAGAUGGAAAAGGAAAAGAAGGAGAAAAUAACUUGCUGGAAUUCACUCAAAUUUUAACAUGCCUGAUCAAAUACUCUGCCCAUUUAAGGGAGAUUGACCUUGGAAACAAUGUCCUGGGAGAAAUGGCUGCUGCUGACAUUCUUGAAGCACUGAGAGCCAGAAAGACAGGUAAACUUCCAGUUUUAAAAGUUACAGUAACCCCCCAGAUCUCUUCAGAUACCUUCAUGUCUAUUUGGGAAAAUAGCAAGAAAUCAAGUACUACCCAUAAAAAGAGGAAAAAGGCUAGAAACUGAAUAUGGAUGCCAUAUAGCCAUAUGGAUUUUAUCUAUUUCCAUGACCUACCACACAUGCCUGGAAAGAUAUUGUUUGUUCUAUAAUAAUAUUUUUCACUAUAACCAAGCCCCUUUCAAGUUGUAAGAUUUGAUAAGACUCCUUAAUGAAAGUUCAAAGUAGUGUUAGUCCUACCAUGCUUGUCAUUUUCUAAAAUGUUGACUUUAUAAAUAAGCCUUGGUAAAAAUAAGUGGGAUUCUUCUCUGAAGCUUGUUCUCUUGUGCGUGUGAAAUUUAUAGUUUGAAGGAAGUCAUGAUCUUUAAGAAAGAAAGACUUGUCUUUCAUAAAUAUAUCUAUGGUUGGGAAAAAUAGGGAUUUUGGGGGAAAAUAACCACUUUCUAAAAGGCAACAACCCUAACAAUGGGGAUCUUCCCCAAAUGAGGAAAAUUCUGAUCACUCUACCCUCCACACUCUGUAAGAUUUCAAUAGCUCCAAAGGAAAUGGAAGCAGUAUCCUGAUCAAUGCAUAGAUGAUAAAUUGAAUUAGGUAAAUUGUAUACAGUACAGGGAUAAAAAGCAUGGGCUAGGCAAUUAGAUGAACCAGAAUUCUCUGUGGAAUCCUGCUGCUUUCCGGGUGACCUUGAGCAAGUCAGUUAACCUCCAGGUACCUAAACUUCUCCUCUGUAAGAUACAGAUAAGAAUGGUACCUAUCAGAGUUCCCUUGUGGUAGAGCAGGUUAAAGAUCUGGCAUUGUCACUGCAGCAGUUCUGGUGGCUGAGGACUUAAGACUUCAUUUUGAAGUUAUAAAAACAAACCCUGUCAUUCAUCCAACAUAUAAAAUGUAACAAGUGCUAGGAAGUUAGUGGAACCCAACUAACUGAGGAGGUGAGGUUGGGUACAGAAAAUUGUGUCCACUCUUGCAGAUUAGCAUCUAACAAGGAAGAUAAGAUCCUCAUACAUUAAAAGUAAAAAACAUUAGAGCAUGAGUUGAAAUAGUAUAAAUCCUUAGGGUAAGGAAGCCUACAGAGUAGUGACAUCAAUUUAACAAGUCUCCAGAACUUAUAUAUCCAAUGUGUGAGCCCUCCUGAGAAAUUGUUCUUGCUCAAAAACCAAAACAAAACAAACUUUUUUAAAGAUUUCCCACUGACAUCCACUGGGUAGAAGUGUAAAAUCCGUGUGCUUAUUUAGGGGUCUUUUGGCAAUGUCUAUCAAAAUGAAAAAUACAUAGCCUUGACUCAAACAUUCUACUUCUAGAAAUUUAUUUUACAGAUAUACCUCACACAUAUGCAAAGAAAUGUGUAUAAAGAUGUUCACUGCAGCAUUGUUCAUUGCACAGUGGAAACAGCUACAUGUCUCAAAGGGUUCUCCAGGACAUAAACCACAGGAAAUACACAUGGUGGAAAACUACCACACAGCCAUUAGGAAGAAUAAUGUGGAUAUGGAAGUGCUUAUAUGGAGAGAUGUCCUAGUCAUACUAUUAAAGAUAAAGAAAAGCCCAGAUAAGAGUAUAUGUGAAUUUUUCAUAUUAAAAAUGAACUAAGGGAGUUCCCAUUGUAGCGCAGUGGUUAAUGAAUCCGACUAGGAACCAUGAGGUUGAGGGUUCUAUCCCUGCCCUCGCCCAGUGGGUUAAGGAUCUGGCGUUGCCGUGAGCUGUGGUGUAGGUCACAGACUCGGCUCGGAUCCCACAUUGCUGUGGCUCUGGCAUAGGCCAGCGGCCGCAGCUCCUAUUAGACCCCUAGCCUGGGAACCUCCACAUGCCGCUGGAGCGGCCCUAGAAAAGGCAAAAAGACAAAAAAAAAAAAAAAAUUAAAAAUGAAUUGAUACAACAUGAAUCAGCAAUUUCACUUCUGGGUUUAUAUCAGAAAGAAUUGAAAGCAGGAUCAUGAAGAGAUAAUUGUACACCCAUGUUCAUAAAAGCGUUAUUUAUAAUAAUCAAAUGGUGGAGGCAACCUAUGGAUCUAUCGAUGAAUGAACACACACACACACACAAAAGAAUAUCACUUAGCCUUAAAAAGUAAGGAAAUUCUGACACAUGCUACAUACAGCAUGAAAGAACCUGGAGGACUUUAUGCUAUGUGAAGUAAACCAGUCACAAAAAAGACAGAUAUUGUACAAUUCCAAUUAUAUGAGAUAUUUAGAGUAGUCAAACUCAGAAACAGAAAGGAGCAUGGUGGCUGGAGGGAGAAGAGGGAGAUGGAGAGUUGUUUAAUGGGUAUACUUCCAGUUUUGGAAGGUGAAAAAGCUCUGGAAAUUGGUUGAUAACAAUGUGAAUGUGCUUGAUACUACUGAAUUCUACACUUUAAAAUUGUUAGGAUGGUAAAUUUUAUGUUAUGUGUAUUUUUACCACAAUUUUAAAAAUUCAAGUGAGUUGAUGUGCUCUGUGUUUGUUAGUACAUACAGAGCAAUUUCUGGAGACUCUAUUGACAGUGCUUGCUUUUUUUCCCACUGAAUACUCAUUUUCCUAUUUUAAAGGUCUUAUCACUUAUGAGCUAUCAAUUUGUAAAAACUCAAAAUUGUUUGAUAAUCAUCAGUAACAGCACUGUUUGGUUGUUAUGUGACCUAGUGCCAAAAGAGUGGAAGAAACACAAUAAGCGCUAUGAUUUUUCUGGGAGGAAUGCAUAAAUAGUAGCAAAGAGUGGUCAGUAAGGACACGAAAAUUAGUUUUCCUCACAGCAAACGCAAUGUAGUUAGAGCAGACAGAGGGAGGUUCUGACCACUUCCAGAGAUGUUAAAUGGAGUCGGGGGAAGAGAAGAGUCUAAGGUGUCUUUGGAUGGCUGAAUCAACUAAUCUGAUGAGGGUCUCAGAGAGGAGUGCUUGGAGAUAACAUUAGAAAGGUAGGUUGGGGCCAUACUGUGGCAGGAUUUAAAGGACCAGCUGGGACAUUUAGAUUUUGUUCUGAUGAUAAUGGAGAGCCAUGGAACAUUUUGAGCAGGCUAGUGUCAGGUGGAAAGGGGGAUCUAAGCAGAUUAAACAGGCACUUUAGAUUGAAUGGGGAGGCCAGACAAGAAGUCAGGACACAAUAAGCCAGGAACAGAGUGAAGAGGUUCAGAUGAGGCAUAAGCAUGUACCAUUCCUUGUCCCCUUCUUUUUUGGCCACACCCAGGGCAUGCAGAAGGGACAGGGAUUGAACAUACUACAGCUGUAACCUGAGCCAGAGCAGUGACAAUGCCAGGUCCUUAACCCACUGAGCCAUGAGAGGGAACUCCUACCAUUUCUCAUUCUUAAUCAUCCUCUAGCCUUUCAUCUGAGUUCCCUCCUUUUCUCUUUCAAACUGCCCAGUUCCCCCCAACUGGGGGCAUUUUAUCCUCAUCUGGUUCUAGCCUUCUUUUUUAAAUUAACUAUCUGGCAUUUAUAGCAUCUCUAGUCAGAUGUGUGGUAGCUUAAUGUGAGUAAAAUGUGUGUCCUUUAUGGUUCAUCUGGGUUUGUUUACAGGCAUUUUUGUCUGGCUCAUAAACUUAGUGGGGUCAACUUUACAUCUGCCACCACUACUACUGCUCUGUUCAACCUGACAGCCUUGCAGAGGUUUGCUUUCUCCACCCACUUCCGGGCCUCCGAUGCCUCCCAUCUUCCCCCAGUUCAAACGUCACCUCUUCCAUCAGCAUCUAGCCAAAUGUGACCCAAAUGUAUCCACAUUUAUAUUUUCACACAUAUAUGCUUCCUUGCCUCCUCCGCCAGAUUUCUGGAGCUUCUAGCCCCCAUCCAGACAUCAGGAGAGGAGGGGAUGAGGCCCAGUAGGAAAAGGUGGGAGGCUCUGAAUUCCAAACCCGACACAGCAGGUGUCCACCACUAGGUGGUAGUGGUGAUCAGGCAUCUUCGUGGGCUCUCCAUACCACAGCUUUCUUAUUUAAAUAGAGAUGUUAUCUGCUUUGCUUGGGAAAACAUAAUAAUAUGACCCCGGGCUAGAUGCAGAAGAACCCUGGAUUCAAAACAGUUACCUUUAGGGAAUAAUGGUGUGUCUUUAUCUUAUUUUUCUGGACCUCAACAUUCCUAUCAAUAAAAGGAGGAUGUUGGACUAGAUAGAGGUUCUCAGAGUGUGGUCCCCGGGGGUUCCUGGGAUCCUUUCAGGGGAAACAAGGUCAAAAGUAUUUGCAUAACAAUAUUCACCGCUAUUUCUCUUCACUUUCUCCUGUGAGUAUACAGUGGAGUUUUAUAAAAGCUACAAGAUAUGUGAUAUCCUUGUUCUAAUGAUUACUUGUAAUGGGUUUAUUGCUUUUCCUUGCGGGGGC
rnacentral:lncRNA from 9 species